GAUGAACGCUGGCGGCGUGCCUAAUACAUGCAAGUCGAGCGAAUGGAUUAAGAGCUUGCUCUUAUGAAGUUAGCGGCGGACGGGUGAGUAACACGUGGGUAACCUGCCCAUAAGACUGGGAUAACUCCGGGAAACCGGGGCUAAUACCGGAUAACAUUUUGAACCGCAUGGUUCGAAAUUGAAUGGCGGCUUCGGCUGUCACUUAUGGAUGGACCCGCGUCGCAUUAGCUAGUUGGUGAGGUAACGGCUCACCAAGGCAACGAUGCGUAGCCGACCUGAGAGGGUGAUCGGCCACACUGGGACUGAGACACGGCCCAGACUCCUACGGGAGGCAGCAGUAGGGAAUCUUCCGCAAUGGACGAAAGUCUGACGGAGCAACGCCGCGUGAGUGAUGAAGGCUUUCGGGUCGUAAAACUCUGUUGUUAGGGAAGAACAAGUGCUAGUUGAAUAAGCUGGCACCUCGACGGUACCUGCAGAAAAAGCACCGGCUAACUACGUGCCAGCCGCCGCAGUAA
rnacentral:rRNA from 1 species